rnacentral:rRNA from 1 species
UACGGGGGGGGCAAGCGUUGUUCGGAAUUACUGGGCGUAAAGCGUGCGUAGGCGGUGAGUUAAGUCUGAUGUGAAAUCCCCGGGCUCAACCUGGGAAUGGCAUUGGAUACUGGCUCGCUAGAGUACGGUAGAGGGUGGUGGAAUUCCCGGUGUAGCAGUGAAAUGCGUAGAGAUCGGGAGGAACAUCUGUGGCGAAGGCGGCCACCUGGACCAGUACUGACGCUGAGGCACGAAAGCGUGGGGAGCAAACAGG